UUUUAAUGAGAGUUUGAUCCUGGCUCAGGACGAACGCUGGCGGCGUGCCUAAUACAUGCAAGUAGAACGCUGAUGUUUGGUGUUUACACUAGACUGAUGAGUUGCGAACGGGUGAGUAACGCGUAGGUAACCUGCCUCAUAGCGGGGGAUAACUAUUGGAAACGAUAGCUAAUACCGCAUAAGAGUGAUUAACACAUGUUAGUUAUUUAAAAGGAGCAAUUGCUUCACUGUGAGA
rnacentral:rRNA from 1 species